rnacentral:rRNA from 1 species
ACGGCCGCGGUAUCCUAACCGUGCGAAGGUAGCGUAAUCACUUGUUCUUUAAAUGUGGACUAGUAUGAACGGCUUCACGAAGGUUAUACUGUCUCCUUUUUCUAAUCAGUGAAACUAAUCUCCCCGUGAAGAAGCGGGGAUAAAGCUAUAAGACGAGAAGACCCUAUGGAGCUUAAAACGACACAGCACUUACCAAAAAUUUUUAAUGUUUCUGUAACACUAAUUCUUUAAAGUAAAAUGACUGCAAGUUUUCGGUUGGGGUGACCACGGAGUAUAUCAUAACCUCCAUGUUGAAAGAAUUUCUUUCUAAGCCAAGAAUAACCAAUCUAAGCAUUAACAAAUUAACAUCUAUUGACCCAAUAAAUUUGAUCAACGAACCAAGUUACCCUAGGGAUAACAGCGCAAUCCACUUCAAGAGCUCCUAUCGACAAGUGGGUUUACGACCUCGAUGUUGGAUCAGGGUAUCCCAGUGGUGCAGCCGCUACUAAAGGUUCGUUUGUUCAACGAUUAAAACCCUACGUGAUCUGAGUUCAGACCG